rnacentral:rRNA from 1 species
GAUGAACGCUGGCGGCGUGCCUAAUACAUGCAAGUCGAGCGAACGGACGAUAAGCUUGCUUCUCUGCUGUUUGCGGCGGACGUGUGUGUAACACGUGCAUCACCUACCUAUUUUUCUUGUAUAACUUCGUGACACCGGUUCUACUACCGGCUAAUAUUUUGAACCGCUUUGUUCAUAAGUGAUUGUCGCUCUUUCUGUCUCUUAUAGAUGGUUCCGCGCUGGAUUAGCUAGUUGGUAAGGUAACGGCUUACCAAGGCAACGAUGCGUAGCCGACAUGAGAGGGUGAUCGGCGAAACGGGAACUGAGACACGGACCAGAGUACUACGGGAGGCAGCAGUAGGGAAUAUGGCGCAAUGGGCGAAAGCCUGACGGAGCAAAGCCGAGUGAGUGAAGAAGGGCUUCGGAUGGGAAAACUCUGUUAUUAGGGAAGAAAAGAAGUGGAAGAAAAGGAGGAGAGCGUGACGGUACCGAAAGAGGAAGCAACGGCUAACUACGUG